GGAUUGCCUUUAUGUCACCUUCUGUACACCGUGGUAGGUAGGGUGAACCAGAGACUGUUUAUAUAGAGACUACAGUCUGUUUAUAACACAGUCCCGCAAAGAGUGAAACCAAAUCUACCUAUAGGCCUUGACGGCGCCGCAGUGCUGCCGCCUGGCGGGAGUCGUAUGGCAAACGUGAGAAAAAACGAGACAAAACACGUUUGUUUAUACUCCUUCACGCACACGAUGACAGAUACAAAUGGGAUUUCCCAUUGGAGUGAGUGCAUUUUUGCUGCCGUCAGAGCCAAUCGAACUGUCAAAUCGGCUACCUAUCGAGCACGCCAGCAAAAGUUUGAAAACAAAGUCUGGCAAGAAGAAGAACAACAGUCGAAAUAAGGCAACCCAUGACGACUUUUCGCCAUGGGGAUGACAGUCAAAAAAUGUAAACAUAGUGUGAGUACAACUUAACAAAGUUUCGUCAAGUGUCGUCGGUGCUUAACAAAUUCCUUUGUGUUCAACUGUCACCUCGAUUAUCGGAUGUCAAAUAUACAUGGUAAACAAAAAAAUAAUAUAUCGCGAUAGGGGCUCGGGGGUGACAGUUGAAAUUGUAAACACAGUGUAUGUAUAGCUUACCAAAUUUUUUUCGAGUGUUCUCGGUGCUUAACAAAUUCCUUUGUGUUCAACUGUCACCCCCGGAGAGAGAGGAGACAGCUCACUGACGGCGCCGAUGUUUACAUUUCUUCUUCUUACUUCUUUUUACAAUUUUGUGCGCGGCACAAUGGUUUGAAAAUUUAUUAUUGGUCAAAACUGUUUUGCAUAUUGACUUUGCUGCGACAGAGCACUGAGAAACCAAAGUACUCUUUAAAGGGUGAAAAAGUACCCUCUUUGAGAGUAACUAGGUGAACUCAUAAAAAGAGUAAAGGGCAGACCGACGAGUGAAUUUUACCCAUUUUCCUGAAAAAAAUUAAUUUGAAAACAGGGUAAAAUGUACACUGUUUUCGUAUUUGAUUUACUCCCGAAUUUUAAUAAUUUGACUUAUGUAUAUAGGUAAAGAAAUCAACGAUUAAUAUUAAUGAAAUCUUUAGAAAACUUUAUAUUUAUUAUUGAGUUAUUGCUUUUUUCACUGAAAAUUUUCCUUGCUUCGCUGAACAACAUGACGUUUUCCUCCAGCGAAGGCUUACGCGAUACAGAAAAUCGCUGAAUUUCACACUAACACUGCAGAAAAUCUGUCAACAAUAACUCAAUACACAUGUAUUUUCAGCGAAAAGAUCUAUUUGCGUGACAACAAUCCACUCCCAUGACUACCGGGCGGCCGCCGUCAAAUAUCAGGAUUGCCAACUGUCCGGCGACUGUUGUCAGUUUUCUUUGUCGCCGAAUCUGGCGCUGGGUCCUCGGCGCGGAAACCCAAAGGUGGGAAUAAAAUGUUGGGGUUUGCGCGCAAUAGUAUGUAUCUAUAAACUGUUCAUACACUGCGAACCCGGCAUUACCCUUUAAGGAGUAAAAAGUACUCUCUUUUUGCAGAUAUAUGGAGCUGUCAAAAUAAAGGGUACUUCAAAAUUUUGAACGAAGGGUAAUUUUUGCCCAUUUUCAAGUUCCAAGUAUUUACUCUUUAUAGGGUGAAAAUUCUGUUCUGAUCGUGAAUCAAUUUUGCUCUCGGCACUUGUAUUUUUUGUGAGAUCGUGAGUUUUAACAAACAUAAAACUAGAAAUAACUGGUAAGUAGGUAUAAUAAUGACUUUAAUUUUGCUUUCAUUGUCUGUGAUUAUAAAAUCAUCCAAAAUAUUGUUGUUUGAUUGCAGGACCAAGUGCAGGACAUCCGAAAAAAUGGGACUUCGUCGAUAUUGUCGGGUUGUCGUCGAAAGAUUUCUCCAACUCAUUCAGCAGCGAUAGGAACUUCAUAUUUGUUACAUAACAACAAUUUUUGAUUAAAUAAAUUUGUUCUUAUGUUAAAUUGUUUUCUAUGUUUACCAUUUUCAUUUUUCAUGCAAAUUUAAAAUAAAGAAAAUCAAAAAGAGUUAAAUUUACCCAUUUUUUCCAACCGGGGUUUCUGUGGAUAAUGGGUAAAAUUUACUCGUUGCACUGACGUACGAGCACUUUACUCUUUUAAGAGUAAAGGCCGUUUACUCUUUUUAAGAGUUCACCUAGUUACUCUCAAAGUGGGUACUUUUUCACCCUUUAAAGAGUACUUUGGUCUCACAGUGUAAUAAAUCGCACAAUUUUCCGCGAGCUGGGGACUCAGCAUCAGGGUGCUCAGGCUUUUUUCUUGCCUUCUUCAACAAUCCAGCGGGAAAAAUACUUUAGGAUCCGGAUGGCACUACACACGUUUGCGCGCAACAGAGAAUUGUCGCCCCACCAACGAGCAGUUACUGGAGGAGACAGACACGCAUGCAACCAAAACUUCCACGCGACACGAAAAUCAGCCGCAUUCAUCGCACACACUGCCGUGAGCGCAUGCGCAAUCGCAGUGCUGAAAGCGAAAACCCAAGAGCACACACAUACCAUCAUCACUAACACGUGAGCCAAGUUGAAAAAAGAAUACAACACGCCGCCGUGCAUCCACGGUAAUGGAAGCCGAAAAAGUUUCGUAAAAAAGCAAAAAAAUCACUUUUUUUGAGCCACGGAUAGUUGAAAAAACUAUGUUUGCAAUUAUCGCGAUUUCUUCUAUUCGGGAAAACACUAUUUGAAUGCAAAAAUGCUUCUUUUCACUCGAAAAACACGGUUUAAUUUGCCAGCACAUUACGCGCGCGACCGACCGAACGUCACUUCUCAACUCCUUCUCACAAAAAAAAAAAGAGAGUACUUUUUACUCCCUAAAGGGUAAUGCCGGGUUCGCAGUGAGCGUGAAAAAUAAAUGGAUUCGUUGCGCUGGUUGAGGAAAACUGUCCAUCAUCA